CAUGGCCCAUUGCCUUCUUUUACCUGGCUGUAGAAUGGUUUUUCCGACGAGAAAGCAGCCUUGAAUCUGACUGAACUGAAGUACUUAAAAACAAAGAUGAAGUUACCAUACCAUACCAUAAACAGAAAAUCUGUAACUACAUCUCCCAAACUGAUGAUCUUCUUUCAGAAUCCCAACAAGAAUGGUUAGAUACACUUCUAAAAACUAAAAAGAGUACUGGUUUCUUCCUAAGAAAACACAGGAAAUGACCAUUCACACCUUACAAGGCAAGAUGGCAAAGAGUUUUCAACCAACGAGAAGCCAUGCAAUCUCUUAAACAGUCAGCUACAAAACCACCACUACUAGAAAAACCCGGUAAAUCCCAUCUUCUUUAUUCUCUUAAUUACUCCUUUAGCAUCUAUAAUGUUGAACCAACCCCUAAAGUCUAUGACUUUAUUCUCAAAACCUUUUUUAAACCUUUCAAUUCCAUCACAUUCCUUCAGUUCUUGACCAUCUUGAAAAAGUUGAAAACUUUGAACCACCUGAAUCUAUUUUUGCUUAUCUUAUAGAAUUUUAUGGAAUUGCUGAUAAAAACCAAGAAGCAAUUGAGUUGUUCUGUAGAAUUCCUAAGAUUAGAUGCCAGUUGUUUGUAGAAGCAGUAAAGGUCUAAACUUGGUGCCUGAAAUUUUGUUGAAGAGUCAAGUUAUGAAUACUCGAAUGGAAGAAUCGACUUUUCAGGUAUUUAUUGCUGCUCUCUGUAGGAUUAGAAAGUUGGGUUUUGCUAUUGAGAUCUUGAGUUGUAUGGUGAAUGGUGGGUUUGUUGUAAACGCAGAAAUAUCUUUUAUGUUAUUGUCAUGUCUUUGUGAACAGAAAGAAGCAACCAAAUUCGAGGUUAUGGGUUUUUUAGAGGAAUUGAGAAAGUUAGGAUUUUGUCCUAGAAUGGUGGAUUAUAGUAAUGUUAUUAGGUUUUUAGUGAAAGGAAAAAUGGGUUUGGAUGCUUUGCAUGUUGUGAAUCAGAUGAAAUAAGAUAAAAUUAAGCUUGGAUAAGGGUUUAUGCACUCAGAGUUUCACAUUUUAUGAGAUAAUUUGUGGUUUAUGCCAUAGAGACCUCAGUUGUAAAACACUUGAAUUACUUGAGAAAAUGGUUAGUAAGAAUGUCUCCUGGUGUUAGAGAUUGGAAAGCGCUUCUCCUUAACUCUGGAAUCGAACUUGGUUUUAUAGAGACUACAUUGUUUAGUUUGGUAGACACAAUUCAAACUCAGUUAAUGUUGAGUGAUUAACCCUCUUUUACUAUUGUAUCCCCCAGAAAUGGUUGAAGUCAGUGAUGAACCCAUGAAUAAAAUUUUGAGGCUAAGGAGAGUUUAUCUUCUUGGGUGGUGGAUCCAAGAAUAGAGUUUGUGUUUGUUGAAUUUUCAGUAAAUGUUGCCUCAGUGGUGUGCUGUGAUGUUAUUAACUUUUAAUUAGCUAGCAAAUUAUGAAUUCUCAAACAAUUUAAAAAUACAAUUGACAUGGUAUGGAUGAAGCAUCAAGUUGCAACUUCAAUUUUUCUAUUCAGAAGCUAAGUUGCUGUCGUGGAUGGAUGCAUGUGUAUUUUGAGCACCAACGAGGCCAUUAUUUGAUUGUAUCCUUCAGUGGGGGCACAUGCAACUAGUCUGUUCUGAACACGAAAUCAUGCCUACCCAGUAUGCUUUCCUGGCCCUUACCUGGUUUUACAAAUUACAAGAAAUGCACUAAAUAUUAAAGGAACAACAUCCAACUCCAGGUAUUCUCUCAAUUUAUGUGUUCAUUGCAUAAGAUGGGUAUGUUCAUACUAUUGUGGCGUGUUCUGGCCAAGUCUGUUUUGCCUUUUUUUCUCGAUAACUUCACUGUUCUGCAUGGAACCUAAGUACUUGAGUCACUGGCAUUGAUUGGCCAACUACUUUAAAACAAGCAACAACUUGCUUCUAUACUUUGUGUUUUGUUUUCUAUUUUUUCACUAAUGUUGAUUAUUAAUUUUCAAAUUCAACCCUAUGGUCUGUUCUUACAAUGUGUUCGUUGAUUUCUUUUGAUUUAUCUCUUGCAGUGUCUCAAAUUUACCACCGUGUACAUUUUGUCUUUAAGGUGAAUUAUUGUAGACAAGAACUUUAAUAGAUAGAAUAUAUAACUCCAACAAAAUGCUUGAGUUGAGUUGCUCAGAAGCUUAGCAGAGAGCUGUUGGUGGUAACUCGUACAUGACUUUUUGUUAUUUGUAUCAUGUCAUGAUACUAAAAAUUGGAAUAGUUCCAACUGGUUUGGAUCAACAGUUUUUGGUUGGAUCAGCUUCUUUUACCUGUACAACUUUUUUAGCUCCAGAAUUCGUGCAAAGCCACGCUUCAUCAACACUUGUUUACAAUAGAAAUUGUAGCCUUAAAAGUGGAAUCUUUUCCGAUCUACAAGGUUGAUCAGACCAAGGUAUGACUUCAUCCUAGAAACCAAAAAUGCUGUUUCUUUUGAAAUGGGUCUUUCUAAUCCUCUUUUCCAUGGAAUUAACGCUAGGAUUUGAUUAAUGGUGGUGAAAUGACACAAUUAUGGAUGGGUGCUUUUGUUGUCCUCUCAUUUCUUUACAUGUCAUUGUUUCCAACGGCAGGCCAGCGAAUGAUUUGCUAGAGUAAUUGGUAAACCAGCACCCAGUGCCUGCAAUAUUCUUCAUUGGGGUAUUUUGCAUGAUCAAAUCUAAGUCUUUUAUGGUUUAGGUUUAUAAGGCUAUAAAUUUCAAGCAAGAAAGACUUCCCUCACGAGUUGGUAGAGAAGCAUUGAUCCACAAAGAAAGAGGGUCUCAAGUUAAACUCCAUUUAUGUAUUUGGCAAAGAAUAGUUUAGCAGUUCAGUAGCUUUCAUUUCCGGUGGGAGAAGUACAUGUAAGCCACCACCAUGAAUAAAUUAAAAAGGAAACUGAAAAUAAAAGUAGUUGAUUCACUUUCUA